rnacentral:rRNA from 1 species
AGCGUACACGGUGGAUGCCCUGGCAGUCAGAGGCGAUGAAGGACGUGCUAAUCUGCGAUAAGCGUCGGUAAGGUGAUAUGAACCGUUAUAACCGGCGAUUUCCGAAUGGGGAAACCCAGUGUGUUUCGACACACUAUCAUUAACUGAAUCCAUAGGUUAAUGAGGCGAACCGGGGGAACUGAAACAUCUAAGUACCCCGAGGAAAAGAAAUCAACCGAGAUUCCCCCAGUAGCGGCGAGCGAACGGGGAGCAGCCCAGAGCCUGAAUCAGUGUGUGUGUUAGUGGAAGUGUCUGGAAAGGCGCGCGAUACAGGGUGACAGCCCCGUACACAAAAAUGCACAUGCUGUGAGCUCGAUGAGUAGGGCGGGACACGUGGUAUCCUGUCUGAAUAUGGGGGGACCAUCCUCCAAGGCUAAAUACUCCUGACUGACCGAUAGUGAACCAGUACCGUGAGGGAAAGGCGAAAAGAACCCCGGCGAGGGGAGUGAAAAAGAACCUGAAACCGUGUACGUACAAGCAGUGGGAGCCCUGAUUUAUCAGGGUGACUGCGUACCUUUUGUAUAAUGGGUCAGCGACUUAUAUUCUGUAGCAAGGUUAACCGAAUAGGGGAGCCGGAGGGAAACCGAGUCUUAACUGGGCGUUAAGUUGCAGGGUAUAGACCCGAAACCCGGUGAUCUAGCCAUGGGCAGGUUGAAGGUUGGGUAACACUAACUGGAGGACCGAACCGACUAAUGUUGAAAAAUUAGCGGAUGACUUGUGGCUGGGGGUGAAAGGCCAAUCAAACCGGGAGAUAGCUGGUUCUCCCCGAAAGCUAUUUAGGUAGCGCCUCGUGAAUUCAUCUCCGGGGGUAGAGCACUGUUUCGGCAAGGGGGUCAUCCCGACUUACCAACCCGAUGCAAACUGCGAAUACCGGAGAAUGUUAUCACGGGAGACACACGGCGGGUGCUAACGUCCGUCGUGAAGAGGGAAACAACCCAGACCGCCAGCUAAGGUCCCAAAGUCAUGGUUAAGUGGGAAACGAUGUGGGAAGGCCCAGACAGCCAGGAUGUUGGCUUAGAAGCAGCCAUCAUUUAAAGAAAGCGUAAUAGCUCACUGGUCGAGUCGGCCUGCGCGGAAGAUGUAACGGGGCUAAACCAUGCACCGAAGCUGCGGCAGCGACACUGUGUGUUGUUGGGUAGGGGAGCGUUCUGUAAGCCUGUGAAGGUGUGCUGUGAGGCAUGCUGGAGGUAUCAGAAGUGCGAAUGCUGACAUAAGUAACGAUAAAGCGGGUGAAAAGCCCGCUCGCCGGAAGACCAAGGGUUCCUGUCCAACGUUAAUCGGGGCAGGGUGAGUCGACCCCUAAGGCGAGGCCGAAAGGCGUAGUCGAUGGGAAACAGGUUAAUAUUCCUGUACUUGGUGUUACUGCGAAGGGGGGACGGAGAAGGCUAUGUUGGCCGGGCGACGGUUGUCCCGGUUUAAGCGUGUAGGCUGGUUUUCCAGGCAAAUCCGGAGAAUCAAGGCUGAGGCGUGAUGACGAGGCACUACGGUGCUGAAGCAACAAAUGCCCUGCUUCCAGGAAAAGCCUCUAAGCAUCAGGUAACAUCAAAUCGUACCCCAAACCGACACAGGUGGUCAGGUAGAGAAUACCAAGGCGCUUGAGAGAACUCGGGUGAAGGAACUAGGCAAAAUGGUGCCGUAACUUCGGGAGAAGGCACGCUGAUAUGUAGGUGAAGCGACUUGCUCGUGGAGCUGAAAUCAGUCGAAGAUACCAGCUGGCUGCAACUGUUUAUUAAAAACACAGCACUGUGCAAACACGAAAGUGGACGUAUACGGUGUGACGCCUGCCCGGUGCCGGAAGGUUAAUUGAUGGGGUCAGCGCAAGCGAAGCUCUUGAUCGAAGCCCCGGUAAACGGCGGCCGUAACUAUAACGGUCCUAAGGUAGCGAAAUUCCUUGUCGGGUAAGUUCCGACCUGCACGAAUGGCGUAAUGAUGGCCAGGCUGUCUCCACCCGAGACUCAGUGAAAUUGAACUCGCUGUGAAGAUGCAGUGUACCCGCGGCAAGACGGAAAGACCCCGUGAACCUUUACUAUAGCUUGACACUGAACACUGGUCCUUGAUGUGUAGGAUAGGUGGGAGGCUUUGAAGUGUGGACGCCAGUCUGCAUGGAGCCGUCCUUGAAAUACCACCCUUUAAUGGCUGGUGUUCUAACGUUGGCCCCUUACCGGGGUUGCGGACAGUGUCUGGUGGGUAGUUUGACUGGGGCGGUCUCCUCCUAAAGAGUAACGGAGGAGCACGAAGGUUGGCUAAUCCUGGUCGGACAUCAGGAGGUUAGUGCAAUGGCAUAAGCCAGCUUGACUGCGAGCGUGACGGCGCGAGCAGGUGCGAAAGCAGGUCAUAGUGAUCCGGUGGUUCUGAAUGGAAGGGCCAUCGCUCAACGGAUAAAAGGUACUCCGGGGAUAACAGGCUGAUACCGCCCAAGAGUUCAUAUCGACGGCGGUGUUUGGCACCUCGAUGUCGGCUCAUCACAUCCUGGGGCUGAAGUAGGUCCCAAGGGUAUGGCUGUUCGCCAUUUAAAGUGGUACGCGAGCUGGGUUUAGAACGUCGUGAGACAGUUCGGUCCCUAUCUGCCGUGGGCGCUGGAGAACUGAGGGGGGCUGCUCCUAGUACGAGAGGACCGGAGUGGACGCAUCACUGGUGUUCGGGUUGUCAUGCCAAUGGCACUGCCCGGUAGCUAAAUGCGGAAGAGAUAAGUGCUGAAAGCAUCUAAGCACGAAACUUGCCCCGAGAUGAGUUCU